rnacentral:misc_RNA from 1 species
UCGAGUUCGGGGUCCUCCGGGGCCCCAACCUCCAACCCUGUGUCUACACGAACCACUGUUGCUUCGGCGGGCCCGCCUCCCUUCGGGCGAGGCCGCCGGGGGCGUCACUGCCCCUGGCCCGCUGCCCGCCGGUAGCCCACAACCACAAACUCUUGAUCAACCGUGACCUUAUCUGAAUCAAAACAAAAAUUUAAAAGCACA